rnacentral:rRNA from 1 species
UACGGGAGGCAGCAGUGGGGAAUCUUGCGCAAUGGGCGAAAGCCUGACGCAGCAACGCCGCGUGCGGGAUGAAGGCCUUCGGGCUGUAAACCGCUUUCAGCAGGAACGAAAAUGACGGUACCUGCAGAAGAAGGAGCGGCCAACUACGUGCCAGCAGCCGCGGUGACACGUAGGCUCCAAGCGUUGUCCGGAUUUAUUGGGCGUAAAGAGCUCGUAGGCGGUUUAGUAAGUCGGGUGUGAAAACUCUGGGCUUAACCCGGAGACGCCAUCCGAUACUGCUAUGACUUGAGUUCAGGAGGGGAGCGGGGAAUUCCUAGUGUAGCGGUGAAAUGCGCAGAUAUUAGGAGGAACACCGGUGGCGAAGGCGCCGCUCUGGACUGAAACUGACGCUGAGGAGCGAAAGCAUGGGUAGCAAACAGGAUUAGAUACCCUGGUAGUCCAUGCCGUAAACGGUGGGCACUAGGUGUGGGUUCCAACUAACGGGAUCCGCGCCGUCGCUAACGCAUUAAGUGCCCCGCCUGGGGAGUACGGUCGCAAGACUAAAACUCAAAGGAAUUGACGGGGA